GACGAACGCUGGCGGCGCGCCUAACACAUGCAAGUCGAACGAGCGAGAGAGAGCUUGCUUUCUUGAGCGAGUGGCGAACGGGUGAGUAACGCGUGAGGAACCUGCCUCAAAGAGUGGUACAACAGUUGGAAACGACUGCUAAUACCGCAUAAGCCCACGGUUCCGCAUGGCACAGAGGGAAAAUGAGCACUACGCUUUGGGAUUGCCUCGCUUCCGAUUAGCUUGUUGGUGAGGUAACGGCCCACCAAGGCCACGAUUGGAAGCCGGAUAGGGAGGUUGAACGGCAACAUUGGGACUGAGACACGGUCCAGAAGCUUGGGGGAAGCAGGAGAGGGGAAUAUAGCAAAAGGGGGGAAGCCAUGAAGGAGCGACGCCGCGUAGAGGAAGAAGGUCGGAGGGUAGUAAACUACGGUUGUAGGGGAAGAUAAUGAAGGUACCCAAAAAGGAAGUAACGGCUAACUACGUG
rnacentral:rRNA from 1 species